CUCAGACGCAGCCUGACGUUGUCCGGCGCCGACAUCCAGAGAGUGUUUGCCGACAUCAAGAGAGUGUUGGCGGCCAACAAGCGCAGAGCAAAGAUGUCGAAGAUGAAAUAGCUUUGCUCCCAUGUCCCACCUUUGGCUCCCUGCUGUGAAGGAGGCCUAUUGAGAGUUACCUGUGCCCCCUCCCACGCUCCAGGUGAGCACACCGGGGUCAGGCCACGCGCUUAUCAGCCCCCCUCCCUUGCACUGCCUGCCGAUCGAUACGUGCAGGAUCUUCAGCUCUCACUGGAUCGUCUGCAGCCGAGUGUGAAGCGACUGGGAUGAGAAUCAGCACCUCCAAGUCCGAGUCCAUGGUUCUCGCCCGGAAAAGUGUGGAGUGCCAUCUCCGGGUUGGGGAGGAGACCUUGCCCCACUAUUUCAAUGUUUAUAUUACUACUAUUAUAUUAUGACUAUUUCAAUGUUUAUAUAACUACUAUUAUGACUAUUUCAAUGUUUAUAUAACUACUAUUAUGACUAUUUCAAUGUUUAUAUUACUACUAUUAUGACUAUUUCGAUGUUUAUAUUACUACACUAUUAUAU